rfam:Beta vulgaris subsp. vulgaris chromosome 6, whole genome shotgun sequence.
GUCGAGCUUGGUAACGCGAGCUUGUGACCCAAGUGGGGACAACAAGGUGGUGGAACAAGAAUCCAGAUAGUUGGGUCGGGUCUUGGGUUGGCUUUAUGCUGGCCUGCCCUGUCCAAGUUGGGAGUUGAUCCAUGGGUCUUAGGCGAAGGCUUGAGUCUCUUGGGUCCUAGAGCAGAGGGUACUGCGUGAGGCUGGUUUCACAGAGCAACGAGAACUUCUCGCUCCUGUCAGUGGACGGAUAACGGGCUGGUGCCACCCGGAUCCAUUAGUACCCAUCUAGCUUAGAUCUCAUCUGGACCACCACUUUU